rnacentral:rRNA from 1 species
GAUGAACGCUAGCUACAGGCUUAACACAUGCAAGUCGAGGGGUAACGAGAGGGAAGCUUGCUUUCCUUGUCGACGGCCGGCGGAUGGGUGAGUAACGCGUAUCCAACCUGCCCUUCAGUAAGGGAUAGCCUUUCGAAAGAAAGAAUAAUACCCUAUGUGAUCGUCUGAUGACAUCAGACGACGAUGAAAGAUUUAUCGCUGAAGGAUGGGGAUGCGUCCCAUUAGGCAGUAGGCGGGGUAACGGCCCACCUAACCUACGAUGGGUAGGGGUUCUGAGAGGAAGGUCCCCCACAUUGGAACUGAGACACGGUCCAAACUCCUACGGGAGGCAGCAGUGAGGAAUAUUGGUCAAUGGCCGUAAGGCUGAACCAGCCAAGUAGCGUGCAGGAUGACGGCCCUAUGGGUUGUAAACUGCUUUUAAACGGGGAUAAAGUGAGCCACGUGUGGUCUAUUGCAGGUACCGUUUGAAUAAGGACCGGCUAAUUCCGUGCCAGCCGCCGCAGUAA